GGCGGCGGGAGCGGGCGCCAGAGCAGCUCGGGACAGCCUUGGGGGAGAGUCCUGGAGCCCCCAAACUGAUUCCAGUUCCUAUUUAGCCGUGUAACGGGCCUUCGCCUCAUCAGAGUCAAAUCUAAUCUAAAACAUGAGGGGAAAGUAGUCUCCAUGCAUAGACAAUGAAGCCGGCUACUAACCUGUCCAAGCAUACCGCCCCCUGCCUUCAAACAUCAUUACUCGAUUCCAUAAAACCAGACUGGACAAAAUAACAUUCAAGAAAAUAGCUACCACCCCUCAUAUUGGACUUCUCCCCCACCGGCUAGACAAAAGGCUGCAUCUCUGGAUCGUUACUCACGGCAGAGGGGUUAACAGAUUCCUGGCCCAAAAUGGAGCACAUUUCAAAGAGGCUGAAAAUGAAGGAGGCUAGAGUAGCUGGCCUUUGAGGCUCCUUCCAACCCUGAUCCCUGCCCUUGAGAAGCUCAAGUCCAGUAAGGGACAUGAUAGAUGGACAUCUGCACGUACCUAAUUACAGCGCACCACCAAGCGGGACAGAAUAUUGGUUGGGAACUGACUCUCCAGGCAAAGAACCAGCGAGACUCCAGUCAAGAGGUGUUUGGGAGAGCUGGAAGCGGUGACCUCACAUCUGAAAAUUUAGCAUGAGAUACUCUAAAUCCAUCACACAGUUCCAAGGGCCACUGCCGGUGCCUGCCUAUUCUGGACAUCUGUGUCACUGAGGACGAGGACUCGGCAAAUACCGAGCCAAGCCGAGCAUUGGGAAGAGAGAGAAAUGAGAAGGCCCUGGGAUCCUCUGGCCUUCCUGGAAAUUGAGGAUGUUGUACAAGCACAAAAAUGCCAUCAGAUCCCCUAAGACUGAGGAAGACAGCACAUGCCGAAGCCCCUAAAGCCGGCUGGGGCACAUCACGGCACCAGGGACAGGGAUGAAAUGAGGAAAGGGCCCUCUGGAAGUUCUCGCUCCCUUGUAUCCCAUGUGACCUUGUGACCCAAGAACCCCACGAGACCUCUGGGAGAUUUCAAGUCGGUCCGUCCCUGUGUUUCACUCGGCAGCCGCGACCAAGUGGGAAGUCUCUGAGGCAGCACUCCAGCUCCAUGGGUCCACACGCAGUUCAGCUUUUGUGGCGUGAAAGCCCCUGCCGGCGACUUCCUUCUCCCUCGCCUUCUUGAGAAAUGCUCGGUGAGCCACGAACUGUGAGGCAAGGCCAAGAUACCGGCUCAAAGAAGGUUCCCACAGUGCUUCCCAAGGGCCGGCCACUCUGCUGAGCGUCUCUCACUUGAUCUUCAGCACAACCCUGCAAGGAAGACUGAGGGAACCUUGGCUGAUUGGGAACACCAGAUCCAGCAUACCUGGCAUGCAGAAGGGGCAACACUGAAAUAUCUCAUGCCCAGAGAGAAUUUAUAAGAGUCAACAAAUAAAAACCAUCCAAGAGAGACUUACAUGAACUGAUGCUGAG